rnacentral:tRNA from 1 species
GGGCGCUUAGCUCAGUUGGUAGAGCGCAUCCCUUACACGGAUUAGGUCGGGAGUUCGAGCCUCUCAGCGCCCACCA